UGAUCUUGUGGAGCUUGAACGAUUACGC
rnacentral:sRNA from 1 species